UGAAGUAAUUUCUCAACAAAAACACUGCAACCAGUGUCAUCGUCACUUUUCCAGUUUUCCACAAGACCAUAUAUAUUCCACGCCCUUCUUGCUAUUUGUGGAUCUGAAUUUCGCUCCUCGCUCCCCCCCCCCCCCUUCCCCUCCCCUCCCUCUCUUCCCUUGGAUAUGGUUAUGGAAGUGCAGAACACCGCCAGGAAGAGGCUUGCCGUGGAGGAGGCAAGAGAAGGAGAGGACUCUGCCAGAAUCAAGAAGCUGAAGAAGGGGGAGGAGCAAGGAGAGGACGCCGAGGCAGCUCCCACGGAUGAAGAGGUGGAGGAGUUCUUCGCCAUACUGAGAAGGAUGAAGGUGGCCGUCGAUUACUUCGACCAGAAAGGGAAGGGUGGCAGGGAAUGGAGGAGGGAGCUCCUCGAGCAAACCGAGGACGCGCUGGACGACGUCGACGGGCGUGAAGAUGACGCUUCCGCCGUUAACAAGAGCACCGGCAGCCGAGAGACCGGAGCAGGUGUUGACCAGCAUUGGACUCGGCAAAUCGCAGGUUGCGAUUGGCAGCCUCCCAAGCUGCAUGUGCAACACGUGCCAUGGAGGGUGGUGAAUCCGCUUAUAAAACCAAAACGCAUGUAGGUCCAAGGGUAAAAAAAUGUGUAGUGUAAAACGAGAGUGAGGAAGGUUACUGAAGAAGAAAUGAAGAAGGAAGAAGAGUGAAGAAGCAAGUGUGGGAGAAGAAGAAGUAUACUGUGAAAGGUUUGAUAAAAAUGGUUCGUGAUUUUACUAAACUGGAAGAACACAUUAUUGAAUAUCUGAAUCAUCCUCAAUGGGUAAGUAUUUUUUUCUUUUGUGAUUAAUAAAUAAAUAUAUUUAUUUAUAUUUUAUGUAUUUGUGUUCUAACUAGUACCUUUAUUGUUAUUUUCAAUGAGAGGUCAUUCUGCACUACUGAGCCCUACGUACCACAGUUGGUAAUUCCAGCCGAUGGUCACUUUAGUUCGUUGGGUGGAUCUGACACCCUCAGCUUGUCUCAGGUCCUGAGAGAUACAGAUUAUCUAUUUCCGACGCCACCGCAGGAAGGGCCUGUUCCAUCUCAACAGUAUGGUAGUCGUCGCGCCACAUCAGGUCAUGCCAGUGACUUCGACUUUGAUCGAUCGACGAGUCAUGUAGAUCCACCCGGUCCUUCCGCACCACAACGUACCCAGUUGUUUGAUUUGAGUGAAUACGCACAGCAGAAAGAGGGAGAUUUGGGAUAUGACUUGCAACACUGGUAUGAUCUUGGUGGAGCAAGUGCUCCAGGGACGAGUGGUUCCGGUUUGUAUGACACUGGUGGUGCGAGCAUGCCAGAUUUCGGUGGUCCUGACGUUGGUAGUGGUCUGGACAUUCGUAUAACUUACGGAUAUAGACUGCACCUCCGAAAAAAUACACCCUAUCCUUGUAUUCGAAGAAGGCAUCGAGGAAGUAGUCUGUUGCAUUUGAUAUUGUAUUCUGAUGAGCGGAUAAUUUAUACGCUUUUUGGCAUUAUUUUUAGGUAUUUUCUGAAUGAAAUUGAGGGACCUGAACAAAAAUCUAAUUCAGGCUGAAAAAGAACUGCUGAUGCUGUUGGAUUCUGACCUCCCUGCACUCGAAAUAGAUUUUCUGGAGCUAAAAAACUCCAAAUGGCGCGCUCUUAACUGUGUUAGAAAGUAGACAUCCAGGGCUUUUCAACAAUAUAUAAUAGUCUACACUUUAUUUGAGUUAAGACGACGCAAAUUGGCGUUCAACGCCAGUUCCAUGCUGCAUUCUAAAGUAAAGCGCCAGAAACACGUCACAAACCAGAGUUAAACGCCAAAAACACGUUACAAUUCAGCGUUUAACCCCAAGAGAAGCCUCUGCACGUGUAAAGCUCAAGCUCAGCCCAAGCACACAUCAAAGUGGGCCCUAGAAGUGGAUUUCUGCAUUAAGACUUAUUUUUGUAAACCCUAGUAACUAGUCUAGUAUAAAUAGGAUAUUUUACUAUUGUAUUAGACAUCUUUGGUCUCAGUUUUAAUCGAUUGUUCA